CCUACGGGAGGCUGCAGUGGGGAAUAUUGGGCAAUGGGCGCAAGCCUGACCCAGCAACGCCGCGUGAAGGAAGAAGGCUUUCGGGUUGUAAACUUCUUUUCUCAGGGACGAAGCAAGUGACGGUACCUGAGGAAUAAGCCACGGCUAACUACGUGCCAGCAGCCGCGGUAAUACGUAGGUGGCAAGCGUUAUCCGGAUUUACUGGGUGUAAAGGGAGUGUAGGCGGGACUGCAAGUCAGAUGUGAAAACCACGGGCGCAACCCCUGGCCUGCAUUUGAAACUGUUGUUCUGGAGUACUGGAGAGGCAAGCGGAAUUCCUAGUGUAGCGGUGAAAUGCGUAGAUAUUAGGAGGAACACCAGUGGCGAAGGCAGCCUACCGACG
rnacentral:rRNA from 1 species